UCAAGUUAAAAAGAGCAUUAGGCGGAUGCCUAGGCACCAAGAGGCGAAGAAGGACGUGACAAGCUGCGAAAAGCUGCGGAAAGGAGCAAAUAUCCAAUGAUCCGCAGAUAUCCGAAUGGGGAAACCCGAUCAAAAGAUCAUCUCAUACCCAAACAAAUAAGUAUGAGAAGCGAACCCGGCGAACUGAAACAUCUAAGUAGCCGGAGGAAAAGAAAGAAAACUCGAUGUCCCAAGUAGCGGCGAGCGAACAGGACAAAGCCCAAAAGGACAAACGAUAAGAAUAGUUAGUCGAAUAAUCUGGAAAGAAUAACCAAAGAAGGUAACAGUCCCGUAGACGAAAACGAAAAAUAAUCAGUCCGAAAGAGUACCACGAGACACGAGAAAUCUUGUGGGAAGACGGGGGGACCACCCCCCAAGGCUAAAUACUACUUGGUGACCGAUAGCGAACAAGUACCGUGAGGGAAAGGUGAAAAGAACCCCGGGAGGGGAGUGAAAAAGAAACUGAAACCUAAUGUUUACAAGCAGCGAAAAUGGCAAAAGCCAUGAUCGUGUACUUUUUGUAGAACGGGCCAGCGAGUUAUGAUCAUAAGCAAGGUUAAGACACUAAGAGUCGGAGCCGUAGGGAAACCGAGUCUAAAAAGGGCGAAAGUUAAUGGUCAUAGACCCGAAACCGUGUGAUCUAUCCAUGGGCAGAGUGAAGUUGAAGUAAAAUUCAAUGGAGGCUCGAACCGGGUAGCGUUUAAAAGCUAUCGGAUGACCUGUGGAUAGGGGUGAAAAGCCAAACGAACACGGAGAUAGCUGGUUCUCCUCGAAAUAGCUUUAGGGCUAGCCUUUAACAGAGUGAAGUGGGGGUAGAGCACUGAAUAGUCAAAGGGCGUUAAACGUUACUAAGACCUAUCAAACUCCGAAUACCAACUCACACGUUAAGGAGUCAGACUAUGUGGGAUGAGCUUCAUAGUCAAAAGGGAAAGAGCCCAGACCACCAGCUAAGGUCCCAAAAUACUGAUUAAGUGGAAAAGGAUGUGGAGUUACUGAGACAACUAGGAUGUUGGCUUAGAAGCAGCCAUGCAUUAAAAGAGUGCGUAAUAGCUCACUAGUCAAGUGACCCUGCGCCGAAGAUAACCGGGGCUAAAUCAGAUACCGAAGCUGUGGAAUUAUAUAAAAUAUAAUUGGUAGAGGAGCAAUGUAUAAACGAAGAAGCAAAAGGCGUAAGCCAUUGUGGAGUAAAUACAAGAGAGAAUGCUGGCAUGAGUAGCGAGAAGUGAGUGAGAAUCUCACCCGUCGAAAACCUAAGGAAUCCUGAGGAAGGCUCGUCCACUCAGGGUAAGUCGGGACCUAAGGCAAGGCCGAAAGGCGUAGUCGAUGGACAACAAGUUGAAAAUCUUGUACCGAUAUCAAGCGAUAAAAAGUAAGUGGGGACGCAGGAGGAUAAGCGGAGCGCCCAGUUGGUGAGGCGUGCAAGCACAAAGUAUGAGAAGUAGGCAAAACCGCUUCUCGAGAAGUAUGAAGUGUGAUGCGGAUCGAAAAUAAGUAGAGAAGGAGCCGACUCCACACUGCCAAGAAAAGCCACUAUCAAGCAAGAUAUCGCCCGUACCGCAAACCGACACAGGUAGGUGAGGAGAGAAUCCUAAGACGAGCGGAAGAACCUUUGUUAAGGAACUCGGCAAAAUGACCCCGUAAGUUAGCGAGAAGGGGAGCCUAGCCAGAAAUGGAAGGCCGCAGUGAAAAGGCCCAAGCGACUGUUUACCAAAAACACAAGUUUCUGCAAAGUCGAAAGACGAAGUAUAGGAGCUGACACCUGCCCGGUGCUGGAAGGUUAAGGGAAAGAGUUAGCGCAAGCGAAGCUCAGAACUGAAGCCCCAGUAAACGGCGGCCGUAACUAUAACGGUCCUAAGGUAGCGAAAUUCCUUGUCGGGUAAGUUCCGACCCGCACGAAAGGUGUAACG
rnacentral:rRNA from 1 species